AGCAGCAGAGCUUGCACAGCUUCAAGAGGGAAUUUCUAUCAUAAAUCAUUGAAAAUGUGUGCUUUCUGACUAGAAUAAUACACAUGUUUUAUCAUUGAAAGGCUCAGGCAGAAUGAUGCGAGAAUGUUGAUUCGUGUACAGUAUAUCAUCAAUUAACCCCUGCACACUGUCAGCCGAUUCUCCUUCCUGAGUAUUGAGUGAUUCCACCUUACUAAUCACUAAAUCAGGUCGUCAAAAAAACUGACCUGCACGAAAAAGCAUGAAGAAAGCAACAACCACAAAUAGAGGUGUUGGGCCACACCACCCCCAUCCUAGAGGACUGCAGUGUCUACGAGUUUUCUUCCCAGCUCAACGCCUGGCACCUUCUCCCUGUUCUUGCGGUGCCUCUGUCUCAGAGAGCCCAGUUCAGCCUGCUGGACUGCAGUCCUUCAGGCCUGGAGAUGUAAACCAAUGAGCUAGACAGGUGCAGAAGACUGCUCACUUGGUCCGGAAAGAACUCUUUCGUUACACCAACUCGAACACCAGAGACUGAGAGCAGAGGAACACAUUGUUCAGGAUGCCGGGCACCGAAGAAGAUGCCAAGAACCACCAGAGGAACUUCACAGGGGGCAGAAUACCUGGACUGGAAUUUGUCUGGCAUGCCUUUUCUGGUAACUGUGGUUCGUGGGGACCUUGUGCUGGUCUGCAAUGUGUGCCCCCUGGAGAGAGUUUUGUGUCAUGGGCUCUGGAUGCUGGGUAGACAGGGUGCUGGCAUUACUAGAGAAUAAAAAGGGCUCUUAAGCAAUACUAACUGUCUUAUCUGGUCUGUGGGUAUACAGGUGGUUCUGGAUGAAGGGUCCUAGUGACAUGGUCGGCACAAAGCAAAAGUAGUUACUGCAUGCAGGAGUCUCCAUCCGUGACAUUAACUCAUCUUUAUUGCUACUAUUGCUACAAUUGUUCUUCUCUUUUUGUGUUAUUUUUUAUGCAUUACCUGUUGUUUUUGUGGAUCCACAAUGAUUCUCAUCACUGUAGUCAUUGCCUCUUGCCUGGUUCACAGUUUUGUAUCAGGUUGCAGAUAUUUACUCCCCACUGGUUAAAGUGAGUUCAUCAGGGAAAGCUAAGGGAGGAGCUCAUGGUAUUAAACCUGGCUUUAUGGUGUAGCAGUCAGCCUUUGUUUAGUUGUGGCUGUUGGCCUUUCCUUGUCUGUGUGCUGUUCAACAGCUUUGGUUUUCUUAAAAGCCUGACUUAAAUCUGUUAAUGAUGCGUUCCUUACAUAACUACAGUUUACAUUCUGUGGUGCUCUCUUUCAUUUAGAUUUUUCUGCACUG